GUGUUCCCUAGAGUUCCCUUGACCGCUUCAUGAGGGAUUACUUCUCCAUAACUUAUUGUUUAAAGCCCUGCUGAAGUGUUUGGGGGAACUCCAGGAUUCAC
rfam:Nicotiana sylvestris Nsyl_contig195703, whole genome shotgun sequence.